rnacentral:rRNA from 1 species
AUGACCUUCUCACCGGAGCGAUCACACAUCUGCCUCUACUCCCUCACGACCUUCGCCAGUGGGAGAAGAUCAAACCCCGCGGCGUCAUCUACGGCGACGGCACAACCCUUCUCUACAGCGUCUCCUACUCGGUUGGCCCGAGGACCACGGCAAGGUUCAGAGCGGCUCUACUUCGACCCGGCGACGCAGAGUGGACAAUCAUCAAAAGGGCCCUCGAGCGAAUCACUUGGUCACCCCAACAUGGUAUGUGCGUCGCUUAUCACGGCGGCAAGAUCCUGCUCAUCAUGA